rnacentral:rRNA from 2 species
CAGACCUCUAAUCGGAAAAGGACUACCCGCUGAGUUUAAGCAUAUCAAUAAGCGGAGGA